CGCCCUCCAUCCGACCGUUCUCAUCACAUCAGCCAUUUUCCAUCGUUUCUAUUCGACCAUCCUCGCACGAGAGAGACGAGAAGAGGGGUCGUCACCAGACCUCAUCCUCGCACACGUUCGCAUGCGUGUGUCGCGAUUUACAUCUAACCAAUCAUUUUUCUUCUUAAGAGAAUUUAAGUUACACCCUUUUAUCUCUUUCGUAACGAGGUCAGUCGAUAAAACCUCCUACCCUCUCGAGUGAAUUUGUUUUUUAGUGUUCGUGUUACUUUAACAGUGUGUGAGUGUGCGUGUGUGUGUAUGUGUUGUUUAUUUCAAUAUGGAUGGAAGGGUUUUAAUUUGAUUUUAAGUUAACGAUCGGACAUUAGAUUGAAUUUGAAGUGUCUUGAAAAAGGAAAAACAAUGGAAUGGACUAUUAUACCAAUUAAUAUAUUUUUUUAUUUACAAAAUUCAGUUACGUGUCGACAGUGAUAUCAAAUGUAAUUUUACAAAAAUGGGGUUGUGAUCAAAGAGAGAGAGAGAGAGAGA
rnacentral:lncRNA from 1 species